GAAAAUCAUUGCUCCAUUUGUUUUCAAAAAUGAUAGCUCUCGAACUAACAGAGAAUGAGCCUUUGGGAGCUUUAAUAGAAGACAAGAAGCACAAGGUUUUACACCAGAGUAAUACCCGAACGGUAUUGUUCGAUGGUGGCCUAUCCAGUGUCCGAUUUUGGGCUGGAAGGACCCAGACCUAACCGCGAUUCGCGGAGAUGCGUAACCAGCGCGCGAACGCGGUGACCUGCAAAAAUUGAAAAGCCGCGAGUCGAUCUAAAAACGAACGCAGCACGCGCGCAAGGACAAGGGAUUAUUCCGUGCCGCUAUGCGCCGUGAGAGAGCCGGCGGGUUUCCAAGGACGUCGAACAUCCCGUCUUUUGUCGAACAGGCGAAGAAAGAGAGAGGUGGAAAAGAAGUAAAAAAAAAAAAAAGAAAAAAGAAA